rfam:Schistosoma margrebowiei strain Zambia genome assembly, scaffold: SMRZ_contig0010289
GCACUGCUGAGGAGUCCCACAAUAGGACGAAACGGCCUACCAGUGC